rnacentral:rRNA from 1 species
UCGGGAAUUUUGGGCAAUGGGCGAAAGCCUGACCCAGCAACGCCGCGUGAAGGAUGAAGUAUUUCGGUAUGUAAACUUCGUAAGAAUAGGAAGAAUAAAUGACGGUACUAUUUGUAAGGUCCGGCUAACUACGUGCCAGCAGCCGCGGUAAUACGUAGGGACCAAGCGUUGUUCGGAUUUACUGGGCGUAAAGGGCGCGUAGGCGGUGUGUCAAGUCAGUUGUGAAAUCUCCGAGCUUAACUCGGAACGGUCAACUGAUACUGUCACACUAGAGUACAGAAGGGGCAAUCGGAAUUCUUGGUGUAGCGGUGAAAUGCGUAGAUAUCAAGAGGAACACCUGAGGCGAAGGCGGGUUGCUGGGCUGAUACUGACGCUGGGGCGCGAAAGCUAGGGUAGCAAACGGGAUUAGAUACCCCCGUAGUCCCUGAGCGGGCUGGCAAGGCGCAU